UUUCAUUGUAUAAUACAAAACAAUAGAAUUCUUAUUUAGUUGCACUGCUUAGAAUAGUGCCCACCAUGUGUAUAGUGUACAGGCCACAUAAUAUGUAACUGACACAGUAUUGUUUUAGUUUGUGAUUUGUGCCAUGCCUUAUAAGAUAUCAAGACAGGCCAGUGAUUUAAAUGGAUGGAGAACAAGGAGAAAAUACUCAUCAAUGGAGAAUGAAGACUCUGGAAAAAAUCUUAUCUUCCCUUUAUGAAAAGCCAUUAUUUAGUCCAGGGUUAUCUUCUACAUCCAUGGAGAUCAUCCAGUUCCCAGAUGUUCAAUUUUGUGCACUGAAGCAGAGUCACUGGUAAGUCUUCCUUCCUCCCCUUUAACAUCUAGUUCCACAAAAUUUAACCCCCAUAUUUAUUUCCUAAAAUAACUAAUAUCAAG
rnacentral:lncRNA from 1 species